GCAUGAGCUGCCACAUGCCCUGCUCCGGGGCGCUGGGGGGUUCCAUGCCAUAGGCUCCUAGCGAGAAGGGGCAGCAGAGGAAGGAGAAGGUGAAGCUAAAGAGCAAGAUCUGUCAUUAUCAGAACCCUUAUUCUGAAGCCACAGCCCAGUAUCCUGAAGUAUCUCCUGGAACUGGUUUCUUGUGAACGUACAACACUGGACUUGUGCCCCUCAUCAUCUUGGACUUACAUCUAGGGAUAACCCUGUGACACAGGAGAAGGAAGUGGAAGCAUUACUAAGAGGCAAAGAGGAAGAAAGGGCUGCAACAUGUUUUCAAGUGGAGAAACAAUGAAGAAAAAGCCCCAGGAAAAAUCAUCAAUCAUGGAUGAAUGAGGCACAAAAACUGCCAUUGCCUUCUAUGAUGAAAUGACUAGAUUUGCACAUGAAGAGAGGAGAAUGGAUGUCAUUUAAAUGGAUGAUAUCAUCAAGGCUUUCCACGUGGUCUCUUAUUGCAUCCUUAAGAUAAAAUUACAGUACUAUCAUCCAGAUAGAUGAAAAAGUGAAUAAUAAACAAUUUAAAAUAGUAGUGGCAAAUGGUUUGUACUCCACCGGAGGCUGGCUGCAAACAGAGUAGCAUAGUGGUCUGUAAAGGACAAACUUAUGACUUUCUGGAGUGAGCUUGGUAUGCCUCAAAGCCUUGCAGCAUAAGUAAGUCCAUCACCAUGACAACCAGUCAAAGGCUGAUAUCAGCAAGUAGGGUAUCCCAUCCUCCAGUGGGCUUUCCCAUCUUCUAAGACAGUCUCGACCACAAUUUAUUUUUUUUUACAAACAAAUUAUUUAGAACUUACUUGUUUAUGACUUUGAGACUGUGAAUCUGCAAACCUAGGAGGUAUAAAGGAAUGACUGAGAACAACACUGGAGGUCAUCUUUUAUUUCAUUAUCUUCUUGGUGGUAAUUGUUUCUGUUUGCUGUUUUGAGACUGUAGCAUCUGGACUAGCAUUAUCACAGUUCACCACCCCUCUUCCAGCAUUGUGGACCAAUACUGGAACUCCUCAAAACAGGACUUCUUUUUUGUGUUCAUAUUUCUGACUCUUGUUCUUUCUCUAUUUUCAUCUGUUUUCCCUUUUUCAUUCUUCUUCCUCCAUAAAAUUAAGAAAUUUCAAGGCUUAUUUUGGCUUCUUAAAAGCCAUAUCACUGGUACAGUUGUUAAGGUGUAAAGUUGUUAAGUAGUUGAAGGCUUAUUUUAGUCAAGGUAUAAAAGUGCUAAUAUUUUGGGGACGAUUGUGUGCCAAUAUUAUGGAGUAAAUAUAGUACAUAGAUUCUCAUUAAAACUGAUGUUUGUGUGCAGACCUUUGCUUAACAUUUUACCUUAAUCUAACCAGAGAUACUCAUUAAUCUAGUCACCUCUUCCUUCCCCUUGCAGGCAGGAUAUGACAAGAUCUACACUAAUUCAUGAUCCCUAUUGAUUACCUGGAAGAGAUGGAUAGCCUGCUUAUCAAGUCUGUAAAUUAUUUCAAAGUGAUCCAAAUUGUCAAUACGUGAGAAGCACUCAAAGUCAGAAAUUCCAGAUGAGGUGAGGAUCUUAGUGAUAGCAGCAAAGAUUAUUUGUUAUUGCAAUAGUGGGCGCACACCCCCUGUUGGUAGGGGAGGAGUUGCGCACCAGUCAGCGAAAUCCAUUCCGUUAUUUGCUCUAAGCCCGACGCAGGUAGUGCUCUCCUGGCUCUCACUCAUUGGUUGAGAGGUUGAGAGUCUCAGGCUCACUAUCUCCCCGAUGCUGUGGCUAUGAUACGUUUCAAUAUAAUGUGGUUACCAACCUGUUGGUUUUUUUGUUUUUUUUUUUUGGUUUUUGUUUUUGUUUUUUUAAUGUACUGUACCAUGAAACAGGAGGGCAAUUUUUCUUGGAGCAUGUUCACUCUGUCUUGUACUAUGCUCUCCCUCUGCCUGGCACAAUUGUCUUAUCUUGUUUCUGUAGUUAGUCCUACCCAUGUCAAAAUGCCCCACUAGUGGAAGAAAAACAAGCUACCCCUGUGAGUGCUCCCUGAAGUAGUGGAACUAAAACUGUGGAACUAAAGGUUCAGCAAAAGCCUACACUACACACAGGAAAUGUUAGCUCCAAAACAAAGACCAACAUUGCGUACUGAAAGUACUUGCUUUACUGCAAGAACACAAUCUACCUCUCAUAAAUAUACCUGGAGUCAAUGCAGAAAUUCAAGAGUGAGAAAGAUUGGAGAAAUAGGCCAGCAAGAACUGCAAGAAAGUUCAACAUGGGUAAAUGAUAUUUUUGGGUGAGCUAAGCCCUGCAGCAAUACAAGGUGGGGUCUAGGUGGUUCUGGAUCAGCUCUGUUGUUGAUAGGGCAGUGACCUUGCCAGUUAUCAAGUUUUGCAGAUGUUUGAGUUUGGUUGUAGGUAGGUGUUCCAUUUGGGCUCUGCAUCACGUGCUGGCCAUGUGGAUGCAGUGUGCAAGUGGAGAAAACCCUGGAGACAAUAAAAGCUGAAGGGAGCAAGUAGUUAGUGGGUUCAAGAGGAAAAGUGUACUUUGAAGAGGGGGAUGCCCUGCUGUUACUACUAAUUGAGUCGAUCUCUGACAUGUUCUUUCUCCUCCUACUUAGUGCUUCAUCCAUCUCUCAAGGAUUGGUAAGUAAUAUUGCACUUGCUUAAAGGAGCUUCUGUUUUAGCAUACCAGGGUUCAUACAGCAUUUGCUUAGAAGAUUCUGUGUGCCACUUACUAAGUGUGUACCUAUGUGUUUGUAUGUUGAAUAAAAUGUACAAUCCUAAGUACUGCCCUGAGUGCGUAGUUGCUUGCUUCUGCUUCUUAGAUAUCCUGCCCCUCAGAUCCGAACAUAUUACAAAACAUCCAUGAAUACAGAACUAUGACUAGUUCCUUCUAAAUAAGUUAACAAGCAUGAGGUGGUUGAGAUAUAUUUAUUAAACAUUAAUGACACAGUUAUUUAUCUAUAACCUCUUCCUACAGAUCCACUCAGUACCACUUAUCUAGGUGGCAUUGGAAGACAAUGGCUCCUGCCAGUGCAGGUAU